GGGCUUGUGGUUUAGUGGUAUAAUACUCCCUUAGCACCAAUGAGGAUUUAUCAACGGUGAGGUUCACGAUCCGAUCUGAAUCCCUCUAAGCUUGGGAGUGGUCCGGGGUUCGAUUCCCCGCGAGUCCA